AAGCAGUCCGUCGGCUGGGCUUUCCGUGCCGCACCCCCGCCCGCUGCCGAGCGAGCCGCCCCGGCGAGGGGCUACGGUCGCGAGGUCGCGCCCGCCUCGGCGGGUCGCCGUCUCCUCUAGCACGUCCGGUGCUCCCGCGGCUGAGCCGUGAUGAUGGGGGGGGGGAGAAGGCGCGUGCGUCUCCCCCCCGCGACCCCCGCUUCGUUCGUGUCGAAGGCCCUCGCGAGGUGGCGGCGGGUCCGCCCCCCCCACCCGGGGCCCGGUCCGACGUGCCGCGCGGAGCGGGCGCUCGAGCGCCGUCCCCGUCUCGCGGGAGUCGGGAAAAGGCGCGCGCGCGCGGCCCCGCCGCGCCCGAGCCGCCCGAAGGGGGRAAAAAAAAAAAAAAAAAAAAAGAGCUGCGUAGCGGUCCCGGCUCCCGGCCCCGCCGCGGCGGCGCGCGCGGGAAGGGAGCCGGCCGCCGGGGUCGGUCUCGCGCCGCGCCUCUCCGGAGGCGGCGCCGCCGGCCCCGCCCGGCGGGCCGGGCGUCCGCGCCCGUGCCGCGGGUGGCGGC
rnacentral:misc_RNA from 1 species